rnacentral:rRNA from 1 species
AUUGAACGCUGGCGGCAGGCCUAACACAUGCAAGUCGGGCGAGCGGAGGACGGGUGAGUAAUGUAUGGGGAUCUGCCUGAUGGAGGGGGAUAACUACUGGAAACGGUAGCUAAUACCGCAUACCAUCAGAUGAACCCAUAUGGGAUUAGCUUGUAGGUGAGGUAACGGCGAACCUAGGCGACGAUCCCUAGCUGGUUUGAGAGGAUGAUCGUCCACACUUGGACGGAAACACGGACCAGACUCCGACGUGAGGCAGCAGUGGGGAAUAUUGCACAAUGGGCGCAAGCCUGAUGCAGCCAUGCCGCGUGUAUGCAGAAGGCCUUCGGGUUGUAAAGUACUAUCAGUCGGGAGGCGUUACCGACAGAAGGAGCACCGGCUAACUCCGUGCCAGCAGCCGCGGUAAGUC